rnacentral:pre_miRNA from 1 species
AAAUGACGUCUAGUUUACUGUAAGUGUGAGCAAUGACGUCUAGUUUACUGUAAAACAGUAAACUAGUCGUCAUUUCUCACAAUCACAGUAAACUAGACGUCAUUG